rnacentral:rRNA from 2 species
UAGGGAAUCUUCCGCAAUGGGCGAAAGCCUGACGGAGCAACGCCGCGUGAGUGAUGAAGGUCUUCGGAUCGUAAAACUCUGUUAUUAGGGAAGAACAAAUGUGUAAGUAACUAUGCACGUCUUGACGGUACCUAAUCAGAAAGCCACGGCUAACUACGUGCCAGCAGCCGCGGUAAUACGUAGGUGGCAAGCGUUAUCCGGAAUUAUUGGGCGUAAAGCGCGCGUAGGCGGUUUUUAAGUCUGAUGUGAAAGCCCACGGCUCAACCGUGGAGGGUCAUUGGAAACUGGAAAACUUGAGUGCAGAAGAGGAAAGUGGAAUUCCAUGUGUAGCGGUGAAAUGCGCAGAGAUAUGGAGGAACACCAGUGGCGAAGGCGACUUUCUGGUCUGUAACUGACGCUGAUGUGCGAAAGCGUGGGGAUCAAACAGG